rnacentral:rRNA from 1 species
AACGUAGGAGACAAACGUUAUCCGGAGUUACUGGGCGUAAAGGGCGUGUAGGCGGUUUGUUAAGUCUGGCGUGAAAGCUCUCGGCUAAACCGGGAGAGGUCGUUGGAUACUGGUAGACUAGAGGACGGUAGAGGCGUGUGGAAUUCCGGGUGUAGUGGUGAAAUGCGUAGAGAUCCGGAGGAACACCAGUGGCGAAGGCGACACGCUGGGCCGUACCUGACGCUAAAGCGCGACAGCAUGGGGAGCAAACGGG